GUUAGUUAGAAUUGUGACCUGAAUUGAACGGGCUUGUUUAUGUGCAAUAACUAGGAUUUUCAGGUAGAGGCCAAGCAUAAAUAACCCUGGGAUGAAGAAAAUAAAAAGGGAAAAUAAUAUGCUUGACACCUUGUCUAGUAACACAGUACACCUUCCCUCACAGUUAAACUGUGUGAGGUAAACAUCCUGAAUUAUCAAGCUGUUUAGCUCAGUUCCAAAACAAAAGAGAGCAGAAAGAACCCAGCAGGUGAGGAUCAUGUACUUUGCAACACAGUUAGUGAUCUUAGCGUGAUACAGCAGAGGCUGAGAAACAGCAACGUAUCGCUCAACAGAAAUCAAAUAAAGCAUAAAAAUUGAUGCUG